UUUAAACUGGCAUCUACGGUCCCUUUAGCUGCUCAACACGACGAUGGCUUAAAAAGCAAGUGUCUAAAGAGACUCCCAAGAUCUCUUUUCAAGCUAGUUACUGCAACUUCAUAUUCCAUCAUCAUGUAAUUAGGACUUUCUACUCCAAAAUAUAAACUUCCUGCUUUGAACUACAUUUUCCAUGUUGGUGAUCAUUUACCUAGUUUGGAGAGAGCCUCUGGAAGCUCGUGACAGUCAUGAACAAUCCUGAAAUCAGAGAACUGGGGGAAUGUAAAGUGCACGAAUGUGGAUAAUUUUGUGAUGUUAUGUGAUGUUUGGUAAAUGUUGAAAAUGCAACAAAAAUUACUUUUUUAAAAAAAUCAGUAACUUGGCCAUCCCACUGCUGUAACACAUGAUGUCCAAGUCCCAGUGAUGGAAGGGCAGCUAGCAGAUAAGGACAANAUGAGUGGCACCUACCCACACAUNCAGUAGGUCAGAGCUUGAGUCCAUUUUAGUUUCUCUUUCAGCAUAUUUUAAUUCCAUUGCC
rnacentral:lncRNA from 1 species